ensembl:lncRNA
CUGCCUUGCAUUCAUUCUGCAGAUUCAGAUUUCAGGAGGAGAGUGACCAGUGCAGCUGAACUGACAUUGAGGCUGAUCAAAGACUCCAGAAACCACAUUGGCCUAUGGUUGAUAAUGCUGAAGAACCAAACACCUCAGCUGUUCUAAAAAUGAGAUAUCUUUUUCUAGUCAGAGAUAAAAACAACACCUAGGGACCAGUUUCAUGAUAUAAGGAUAUUUAGAAGACAACACCUGAGCUGUUUAUUUUACUACUAGCAAAGGGCUUUGGGGUAGGUUGUACCGUUGUACCCAACUGCUUUACUGUUCUCUGUAAAGAGAUGGCACUUCCUACCCUGUCGACAUCAUGCCUCUUGUGACUUGAUUUGACCAGGGAAGAUGAGCAGCACUUCCAAACCAAACAGGAACUUUAAGAGCCACUGGAAAUUCUUUGCUCUUGGGAAUUCCUUCCAAGAAUCCUCUCCAAUUUUGAUUUGGGAAAUCUACUCAAUAUUUUAUGAUAACCUAUAGAAGAAAGGAAUCUGAAAAAGAAUAGAUGUGUCUACAUGUAUAACUGAAUCACUUUGCUGUACAGCAGAAAUGAUCACAACACUGUACAUCAACUCUACUUCAAUACAACUUUAAAAAAUGAAGAAAAAAAAAAGAUUCCCAUAUGAACACGGAGCUCCUGUUGUGGCUCAGAGGAAACAAAUCUGACUAGCGUCCAUGAGGACUUAGGUUCGAUCCCUGGCCUUGCUCAGUGGGUUACAGAUCCAACGCUGCUGUGAGCUGUGGUGUAGGUCGAAGGUGUGGCUCAGAUCUGGCCUUGCUGUGACUGUGGCACGGGCUAGUGGCUAUAGAUCUGUUCAACCCCUGAGAAUCUCCACAUGAUGCAGGUGCAGCACUACAAAAAAAGAUGGAAAAAAAAAAAAAGAUGUAGGAACGUGCUGUCCUCAAGUUUGGUUUUCAGUCAAUACCAAACAUGCACACAUCACAUCCCUCAUAUAUAUUUAUUUUUUCUAGAUUGUUGAAAUAAAUUCCCCUGUCUUUUAUCUUCUGUGAGAUAAUUGAACUUCUUCCUGCAGUUGGAAAAUGUGAUGCCAAUGAUACUGUAGUAAAUGAAAGAACUUCAUCAACUUCUAAUUAGAAACUGAAUCACUGUGUGGAGAGCAUAAUAAAAUAGCCUGCUUCUAGUCAUCUAUGACAGCAACUGGUUCCUGGAGGAGUUAUUGAAAGUAUAAGAUAAAAAAGUUCCCAUUAAAUUUAUUUUUAAAAUACCCCCCUAACUUCUGGACCAGCACUAUCCAAUAGGAUUUUCUACAAUGACAGAAGAUUUCUACAUCUGUGAUGCCCCAUGUGGUAUCCACUAGCUACCUGUGACUAUGGGGCACUUGAAAUAUGUUAGCAUGACUGAGGAGCUUAAUCUUAAAUUUAAUUAAUUUUUUUCUUUUUAGGGCCACACCUGCAACAUAUGCAAGUUCCCCAAGCUGGGGUCUAAUCAGAGAUGCAGCUGCUACCAGCCCAGUCCACAGCCACAGCAACACCAGAUCUGAGCCACAUCUGCGAACUACUCCAGAGCUUGUGGCAAUGCUGGAUCCUUAACCCAUUCAGCAGAAGCCAGGGAUCGAACCCACAUCCUCAUGGAUACUAGUUGGGUUCUUAAUACACUGAGCUACAACAGGAACUUCAAAUUAAUUUAUGUUUAAAUUUAAAUUUGUUAGCUAACAGCUAACAAAUUAGACAAUAUACCUUAGACCCUCCAAUGGAAGAGUACAUUUUUUUUUUUUUUUUUUUUGUGGCUGCUUCUGUGGCAUGCAGAAGUUCCUGGGCCAGGGAUCAAACUCAUGCUACAGCAAUGACCCAAGCCACAGCAGUGACAAUGCUGGAUCCUUAACCCUCUGAGCCACCAGGGAAAUUCAAGAGCAUCUUUUCCUAAUAACCGAAGUACUCUUACAUGUUACUUAUCUAACACUAAGAGACUAUAUAUAUGUAGUUAUCUCUUUACGCAAGUCCCAGACAACCUCACCCUUUUAUGUUCAGACAGCCAUAUAAUGUGGAUUCGAGAAAAUAAUGUCUGUUCUGUUUCAGACUCAUACUAGUCUCUUCAGUAGAGUUCUAAUCUUGCAUUAUGGCACAAAUGUUACAAUUAUUUCCCCUGGAUAGUCCCAAGAUACAGAUGGCUAUUACCAAAUCCUAGAAUCACAAGUCAAGGACAUUCUUAUUUAGUCCAUUCAUUGAUUUAGAAAGAACCACUCCCAAAUGAGGCUGACAAUUCCCAUAUGUAAUUGCAAAUCUCUAGGCUUGAGCUCUUCAUACUGGAAAUUAGAUUCCCAAAUUCCUCAAACAACCAGAUUUUAGUGUUCCCCAUCAUUGAACUGAAAACUGAACUGUAUUUCCAUCUCAACGUGUAAUUAAAUAAGGGGUUUAUGUCCCCCUGUUUUCAUGGGAUUCAUCUCACUACAAAGACUUAAUAUUCAGGGAACUACUAUAAUUGUUAGGACCACGGGAUUUGGAAAAUAAUAAUUCAUUUUUUAAAAAGAUACAGUGCAAAUAGUAUGCAUUUAUUUAUUUGUCUGUCUGUCUGUCUGUUUAUUUAUUUAUUUAUUUAUUUAUCUUUGCUUUUUUAGGGCCGCACUCAGCAUAUGGAGGUUCCCAGGCUAGGGGUCAAAUCAGAGCUACAGCUGCCAGCCUUUAUCAUAGCCACAGCAAUGUGGGAUCCCAGCCGCAUCUUUGACCUACAUCACAGCUCAUGGCAACACUGGGCGAGGCCAGGGAUGGAACCUGCAUCCUCAUGGAUUCCAGUCGGAUUCGUUUCUGCUGCACCACAAAAGGAACUCUGAAAAUAAUUCCUGACUGUGAGGAUGUAACUAUUUGGGAAGGCUGGAGGCCAAUGUUAUUAUUAAGCACACUGGACACUGACUCUUUUUUACAGCCUUCUUGAUGGACUUUCUCAGGGGGUCGAAGCCAGGGAAAUCCUUUCCAAGACUGCCCACAUUGGCCACUGCUAAGAGAGGUUCUUUAUCCUUGACCAAUUAACUAAGACAUUGGAUCUAUUCUUAAUGAGAGUGUGGUGUGUUCUCUCCUCCUUAAUUAUAUGGCAUCAGAAAGGCCGGGCUCUGCUUCCUAGUGACAGCGUGAGAAUUAAGUCAUCUGUAGGACUUCACCUAGCAACAAUUAUCAUGACCCCAGUAAAUGAUUAUUGAUGUUGUUCUGGUUUUAUUGAAUUCUAAAGUUAAAAUAUAACUGUACUCCAAGAACAAAAAAGAUUCUAAGAUGAAUAAGACCUUUCGGAAUAAAAGUAAAAGACUCUUCAGCAGAAAAAGAUGUCUACACCAAGCAUAUGACACCAAAAUUACUCCCCUAAUACAAAAUUUUAUAGCUUUCUAUUUUAAAAAACAAAGCACGACGAGGUGACUAAAUUAAAGACCUGCUCCCUUCUGCAGACAAGCUAGGCAUGACCAACCAUGACCUUUAUUUAUCUGAGAAAAGGAAUGAGAGAAUAUAAAGAAGGGAAGCCUGGUUGCUUAUGUGCCAGACUCUGCAUUUCUCCCAGAUUUUUUCUCCACUUUCCCUCACCCCAAUUAGGGUGUGUUCAUAAAGUUCCAAGACACCUACCCUAUAAGCAGUGGGUCUCCCAGUAAGCUGCCAGUGUGGUUUUGGGGCUCCUUUCUGCAGAUGAGCAGCAGAAGAGAGAGCUUGUCCUCAUUCUUCCCAUAAUAGAGAAGCAACACCAGAAGGAGUAGCCUAGAAUCCACAGGGUGACACACUGAGUCUGAUUUUUUUUAACCUGGCAACUAAGUUGGAUCAUUUUGGACAUGUAUAAACUCUUUCAAACACUAACCUGAAAGAUUUGAUGAAUUUUUCCAAAAUGGUUGACCAGCCUCAGGACCUGACUUAAGCAAGGCAGAAUUCAAACUUAAAACAAGAGAAUAUUAAAAUAUGGGAGCGGAUAUUUUACAAUGUUCCCUGUAAACCAGCUAUCAAUCUCACAUGGGUUCUAGCUAAUGCAAAAGAGAGCAAAUCAUGAUUUUUUUAUUUCUUAACAUAUAUACGUAUACAGCAAGAAUUAAAAAGGAUGGAUUUAUCCGGAAAAAAGUUUACAUAUUUUUUGAGUCUUUCAUCUCUAGGAAAAAAUGUAAAACUCUGCAGCUAAAGCAUCAGCUUGAUUGCUUAAUGAUGGUUAACAUUUAAGAAUUUGCUCUGGGGGAAAUAAAGUGGAAAUUUAAAUAGGGCUGAAACUUGCCAUUGGUGUGGGUCUUCACUGUCUUUUUCCAAAUGAGGGCACAUGAGUGAAAGAUAAUGGGGAAGCUGCUUGGACUAUAUUAAGUUCAGUCAAAUCCUUUUCCUUUUACUGACUGUGUAGAUAACAUGCUGCUUUAAUUGCCUCGAUGAAUUUGUUUUUAAGCUGUUGGUCUUUAAAGAAAAUUUAAAGUUUCCCUGUUUGGCACAUAUUCUUACAGUCUUUAGAGGCGAAAUGUCUACAUGUGCAUAGAGACACAGAAAUAUAUUUUAUAUUUACCAAACAGGACAGCAAUUUAUUCCAAGUUCCAGAGUCACCUCCUCUAAGAAAAUAUUUACUCUCUUCAUUGCUGAUAACAUAUACUCCUUCCUCCUUGCCAGAUUAUGUCCUGUCCUUUCCCUUUAUUUCUAAACCUCAGCAAAGGUUCCACUAGCCCGUCAGAUGAGUCUAAUUACAUUUUAGGGUACAGUCAAAUGCUGGAAAUAAACAAAAAUAAGACAAGAUCUCAUGCAUAACAACAAUAGGAAUCAUCAGAGCAGUCAUUUAAAUAAGUGCUUUUAAUCAAGCAACCGAAACAUCAUAAUGCCAGAGUAGAAUAGAAUUUAAAUUGAAAUCAACAUUCUAUCCCAUAAAAAAGCAGCCACAGCAGAGCGGGAGUGAAAUCGACAAAGAUACUUUUACUUUACCCGGUAUAAACAUCAGACUGUUUUUUCUCCCUAGGCUUGCUUUUCCCUCUUUGGCAUGACAGUUCUGAUUCUUCAGCCUCCCCACGAAGAAGAGAAAAAUUCCCUUGAAGCUGAACUAAAUUCAUCAGCAAAUGAAAUUACAUUCAUUUGAUAAAAUGCUAAAUGGAAAAAGGC